AGCAGCCGCGGUAAUUCCAGCUCCAAUAGCGUAUAUUAAAGUUGUUGCAGUUAAAAAGCUCGUAGUUGAAUUUCGGGAUUAGUACGCUGGUCGUGCCUUCGGUAUGUACUGGUGUUACUGGUUCCUACCUUCUGACGAACCGUCAUGUCAUUAAUUUGGUGUGGCGGGAAAUCAGGACUGUUACUUUGAAAAAAUUAGAGUGUUUAAAGCAGGCUCGCGCUUGAAUACAUUAGCAUGGAAUAAUGAAAUAGGACGUUCGAUCCUAUUUUGUUGGUUUCUAGGAUUGACGUAAUGAUUAAUAGGGAUAGUUGGGGGCAUUAGUAUUCAAUUGUCAGAGGUGAAAUUCUUGGAUUUAUUGAAGACUAACUACUGCGAAAGCAUUUGCCAAGGAUGUUUUCAUUAAUCAAGAACGAAAGUUAGGGGAUCGAAGACGAUCAGAUACCGUCGUAGUCUUAACCAUAAACUAUGCCGACUAGGGAUCGGAUGAUGUUAUUUUAAUGACUCAUUCGGCGCCUUACGG
rnacentral:rRNA from 1 species